AAUGAACGCUGGCGGCAGGCCUAACACAUGCAAGUCGAACGGAUCCUUCGGGAUUAGUGGCGGACGGGUGAGUAACGCGUGGGAACAUACCCUUUGGUACGGAAUAGCCUCGGGAAACUGGGAGUAAUACCGUAUGUGGUCGAGAGACGAAAGAUUUAUCGCCAAAGGAUUGGCCCGCGUUGGAUUAGGUAGUUGGCGGGGUAAUGGCCUACCAAGCCGACGAUCCAUAGCUGGUUUGAGAGGAUGAUCAGCCACACUGGGACUGAGACACGGCCCAGACUCCUACGGGAGGCAGCAGUGGGGAAUCUUAGACAAUGGGGGAAACCCUGAUCUAGCCAUGCCGCGUGAUCGAUGAAGGCCUUAGGGUUGCAAAGAUCUUUCAGGUGGGAAGAUAAUGACUGUACCACCAGAAGAAGCCCCGGCUAACUCCGUGCCAGCCGCCGCCGUAAGAC
rnacentral:rRNA from 1 species